rnacentral:misc_RNA from 1 species
UUAAGUUCAGCGGGUAUUCCUACCUGAUCCGAGGUCAACCUUUCAGAAGUGGGGGGUUUAACGGCGUGGCCCCGAUCGGCCCCAGUGCGAGAUAUUGCUACUACGCAGAGGAGGCUAUCGCGAGACCGCCACUAGAUUUCAGGGACGGCGCGCCACGACGGGCGGGCCGAGCCCCAACACCGCGCCCCCCGGAGGGGGCA